CCGCAACUUCAGUGUAGUCACUGUUACCUUCACAAAGGCCACAGAAUCCACAGAAGAAGCCGCCGUCUGCGUCCAGGAGACAAUUAUUGGUGACUACUGAUCUAUGGAAAAUGUUAAAUACCGAGAUUUACCAAAUGUUACGCUGUGUCUAUCCUGAUAGUGUCCCCGGCCUGAGCUCAGAAUGUCACCAGUGCCGUGUGUUACCCACAUUAAUAUCUGCCAGCCGGAGACAUAACGUACCAGCGAACAACAGUGCAGAACGUGCCAGCAAAAACCUUCUGCUCUAGAUUUUAAUAAAUAUUUUAAAAACAACUUACAGCUGUCACAGAAUGAGUUACUGCUCCCGACUGAUGAGAAACGAUAAGGCUGCAUUCACACAAC